UACGUAGGGCGCAAGCGUUGUCCGGAAUUAUUGGGCGUAAAGAGCUCGUAGGCGGUGUGUCGCGUCGGCCGUGAAAACCUGGGGCUCAACUCUGGGCGUGCGGUCGAUACGGGCAUCACUUGAGUUCGGCAGGGGAGACUGGAAUUCCUGGUGUAGCGGUGAAAUGCGCAGAUAUCAGGAGGAACACCGGUGGCGAAGGCGGGUCUCUGGGCCGAUGACUGACGCUGAGGAGCGAAAGCAUGGGUAGCGAACAGG
rnacentral:rRNA from 1 species